rnacentral:tRNA from 1 species
GCCGAGAUAGCUCAGUGGUAGAGCAACGCUUUUGUAAAGCGAAGGUCGGAGGUUCGAAUCCUCUUCUCGGCU